ensembl:lncRNA
AUGACUGCGGUUCCCCAGCUUCACCAAGGAGGGCGGGGCUGCAGGAGGACCGCGGCACCUGCGGGCGGGAGUGUGAGCGAUCACGAGCCCACCCAGGCCCCGGGAGCGUGGUGGCGCCCCAGGGAAGGACCCUCGAUGGAAGAAGGUGCUGGAGAGCCUCGAGGCCCUACAGACAACGGGGAGUCCAGGAGAGGUUGCUCCUUCUGGGAUAUCGUUCUUAACAGGUGUGGGCGGAGUGUCUACACUAUUUUGGAUCCUGUGUUGUUCACAUGACACCAUGACAGAAAUGCUACCCCAUUAAAUGUUUUGUGCGUACAAUUUUGUAUCCAGCUCUUACUCAAUUAAAACUGUUCAAAAUACUAUUUAAAAACUCGUUGGAAAUGUGAAAUCUCAUAACUACAUAAUAUGUGGUCAUUUGGGCAAACCGUAAUUUGUGACCCUUUCAGGCUGUUUACGAUCGUUACUAUAGUAAAUCUUUCUGUGUCCCCGUCAUUAGAGGAAUGGGUAUAUUGUGACAUACCGGGAUACUAUUGAACAGAGUUUGGGAUUUUUUUGUUUUUAAAGAUUUUAUUUUUACGUAAUCUCUACACCCACGGUGGGGCUUUCCGGAGAUGAAGAGUUGCGUGCCCUACCAGCUGAGCCAGCCAGACGUCACUAGAGCAGGGCUUCUUAACUUCGGCACUACGACCAUUCAGGCCGAGGUAAUUCUGUGUUGUGCAGGGCAGGACAUUGACCAGUGCCCCUGGCCUUUCCACUGGACGCUAGUGCUCCCCACCUCCAGUUAUGGCAGUCUACACUGUCUCCGGACGAUGCCAAAUGUCUCCUGGAGACAGAAUCGUGAACCACAUUUGUUGCUAUAAACCGAUGAAAAUAAAUGAGCUGCAGCUACAAAAGCCAAAUAUAGAUCAACGUCAUAAACGUGAUCUCAAGUAAAAGAAGUCCGACGCGAACACUGUAUGCUAUGUAAUUUCAUUUCUAGAGGUUCCUAAAUAGACAGAACUAAUCCAAGGUGCAAAAAAUCAGGAUAUUCCGGGGAGCAGGUACUGGAAAGAGUAGGGCAGGGGUGGGGUGGUGGUUUCUGAGGGGUGGAAGUGUUCUAUUGAUUGACCUAAUAAUUUUUGAAAUCUUACGUAAGAAAUGUUAUUAGUUCAUAGAGUCCAAUCUGUUGGCUCUUUUUUUGUGAUGAUCUUCCAUCACUUUAUAAAAGCCUUUAAAAUAUAUAUAAGUAAUACAUAUUCUUUGCAGAAUAGAUAAUACAAAAGAAAAAAAUCAACGACAAUCCUAUUAUCUAGAAAUAACUAUUAUAGAUAUUUUGGUGUAUCAAUUUCUAGACUUUUUUCUACACAUAUGUGCAUGUAAAUAUGUUACACAGUUUCUUUAUAUAAACGUGGGAUUGGGGCACCUGGAUGGCUCAGUCGGUUAAGCGUCUGCCUUCGGCUCAGGUCAUGAUCUCAGGGUCUUGAGAUCCAUCCAGCCAGCCAGCCCCACGCUGGGCUCCCUGCUCAGUGGGGAGCCUGCUUCUCUCUCCCCUCUGCCCCUCCCCACUGCUUGUGCUCUCUCUCUCUUUCUCUCAAAUAAAUAAAUAAAAUAUGUAAAAAAAAGUGUUAAUGAUAUGUCAACAUCUUUCUGUUUCAAUAAGUAUGGGAUUCCAUCAUAUGUAUGUAUGUAUUUAGAAUAUUUUUUAAAGAUUUUUUUUAUUUACAAGUAGCCUCUAUACUCGUGGGGCUUGAACUCACAAUCCCAAAAUCAAGAGUCCCAUGCUCUUCUGACUGAGGCAGCCAGGUGCCCCCAUGGUCAUUUUUUUUUUUUUUAAGAUUAUUUAUUUAUUUAUUUGACAGAGAUAGAGACAGCCAGCGAGAGAGGGAACACAAGCAGGGGGAGUGGGAGAGGAAGAAGCAGGCUCAUAGCGGAGGAGCCUGAUGUGGGGCUCGAUCCCAUAACGCUGGGAUCACGCCCUGAGCCAAAGGCAGAUGCCUAACGACUGCACUACCCAGGCGCCCCCCGCCCCAACCCCAAGCCAUGGUCAUUUUUAAUGACUGAAUUCCUAAACAUUGUAUCACUGGGUCAAAUAUAUGAUAAUUUCAAUGUUUUUGCUACAUAUUGCUGAUUUGUCCCCCAAAAACAUUGCCCCCAAAUACUGACCAGCAAUCAAUAUAGGUAUGUAAUAAUGCCUAUUUCUCCAUAUUGGGAUAUCACAUUAUUUGUAUUUGAUAUCCUUGCUGUUCCAAAAAGGUUUUUGUUUUGGUUUUUAAGGGUUUCUGGAAUACCUGGCUGGCUCAGUCAGAGGAGCAUGCGACUCUUGAUCUCCAGGUUGUGAGUUUGAGCCCCACACAGGGCAUAGAGAUAACUUAAAAAUAAAAUCUUUAAAAAAAUAAAGUUUCUCUUUGUUUCAAUUUGUAUUUCUUUGAUUGCUGGUGAUAGUGUAGAUUUUCUCGUGGAUUUAUUGGCCAUUUGGAUUUCUUCUCUGGCGAAGAGCCUGUUCUUAGUCUUUGUCUAUUUAUUAGGAUUUUCAUUUUCUUUUCCUCUUUGGGGAGCUAUUUCCAGCCUAAGAAUUUUAACUCUUUGUCCACGAUAUAUAUUGCAAAUAUUUCCUCACAAAAUUUUGUUGAUUUUCAACCUGUUUGUGAUUUAUUGGCCAAAUCAAAUUUUUAAAUUUUGUAGAGUAAAAUCCGUCAGUCUUUUGUUUAACAAUGUCCCCAGUGUCUUUGUGUUGUGCUUAGACAUUCUCCAACUCAAAAUUAUAUAUAUAUAUAUAUAUAAUGCUUAUAUAUAUAUCAGCCUCUAUUUUUCU